rnacentral:rRNA from 1 species
UAAUACGAAGGACCCGAGCGUUAUCCGGAUUUAUUGGGUUUAAAGGGUGCGUAGGCGGACACGCAAGUCAGUGGUGAAAUCCCUCAGCUUAACUGAGGAACUGCCAUUGAAACUAUGUGUCUUGAGUACAUUUGAGGCGGGCGGAAUGUGUCAUGUAGAGGUGAAAUUCUUAGAUAUGACACAGAACACCAAUUGCGAAGGCAGCUCGCUAAACUGUAACUGACGCUGAGGCACGAAAGCGUGGGGAUCAAACAGGAUUAGAUACCCUGGUAGUCCACGCCCUAAACGAUGAUUACUCGAAGUGUGCAAUACACAGCACGCCUCUGAGCGAAAGCAUUAAGUAAUCCACCUGGGAAGUACGGCCGCAAGGCUG